UGGCUCAGUUUCCUGGGAGGUGGACGCAGCCUACUCCACCUCCCCUCAGAGGAGCCUAGAGUAGAGAGGCUGGACCUCCUUCCCCAUAGGAGAGGCAUUUGCGAAAGGAGCCUUGCCUGGGCUGCCUGGCCUCACAAGC
rnacentral:snoRNA from 1 species